rnacentral:rRNA from 1 species
UACGUAGGGUGCGAGCGUUGUCCGGAAUUAUUGGGCGUAAAGAGCUUGUAGGCGGUUUGUCGCGUCUGCUGUGAAAACUCGGGGCUUAACUCCGGGCCUGCAGUGGGUACGGGCUGACUAGAGUGCGGUAGGGGAGACUGGAAUUCCUGGUGUAGCGGUGAAAUGCGCAGAUAUCAGGAGGAACACCGGUGGCGAAGGCGGGUCUCUGGGCCGUAACUGACGCUGAGGAGCGAAAGCGUGGGGAGCGAACAGG